rnacentral:rRNA from 1 species
AUCAUAGCGGAGGAAAAGAAACCAACAGGGAUUGCCUCAGUAACGGCGAGUGAAGCGGCAACAGCUCAAAUUUGAAAUCUGGCCCCUUCGGGGUCCGAGUUGUAAUUUGCAGAGGGUGCUUUUGGUGUUGGCCGUGGUCUAAGUUCCUUGGAACAGGACGUCACAGAGGGUGAGAAUCCCGUACGUGGCCGCCGGCCCUCGCCUUGUAAAGCCCCUUCGACGAGUCGAGUUGUUUGGGAAUGCAGCUCUAAAUGGGAGGUAAAUUUCUUCUAAAGCUAAAUACCCGCCAGAGACCGAUAGCGCACAAGUAGAGUGAUCGAAAGAUGAAAAGCACUUUGGAAAGAGAGUGAAAAAGCACGUGAAAUUGUUGAAAGGGAAGCGCUUGCGGCCAGACGUGCCCGCGGUUGUUCAUCUGGGCUCUCGCCCGGUGCACUCCUCCGCGGGCAGGCCAGCAUCAGUUUGGGCGGUCGGACAAAGGUCUCUAUCACGUACCACCCCUCGGGGUGGCCUUAUAGGGGAGACGCAACACGGCCAGCCUGGACUGAGGUUCCGCGCAUCUGCUAGGAUGCUGGCGUAAUGGCAGCAAGCGGCCCGUCUUGAAACACGGACCAAGGAGUCUAACAUCUAUGCGAGUGUUUGGGUGUCAAGCCCGAGCGCGUAAUGAAAGUGAACGGAGGUGGGAACCCCUCGGGGCGCACCAUCGACCGAUCCUGAUGUCUUCGGAUGGAUUUGAGUAAGAGCAUAGCUGUUGGGACCCGAAAGAUGGUGAACUAUGCCUGAAUAGGGUGAAGCCAGAGGAAACUCUGGUGGAGGCUCGCAGCGGUUCUGACGUGCAAAUCGAUCGUCAAAUUUGGGCAU